rnacentral:snRNA from 1 species
AUCACUUCUUGGCCUUUUGGCUAAGAUCAAGUGUAGUAUCAGCAUAAGGCUCGACGUGUCCUUAGCGUGUCUCUUUGGAGACUCCAUCCUGCCCUUGCAGCAGGCUGGAUUCAGUGACCUACUGGCUCUUUU